rfam:Cucumis sativus cultivar 9930 chromosome 6, whole genome shotgun sequence.
GGUUCGAUGCCACGUCGGCGAUAGCUAAGGGCGGUGACCGUCGAUGCUCUGAUUGAACCAAGAACAACCCUUUUUCACAUCUUGAUAGGAAUCUGUUUAUCUUUUUUCAGUAGAUUUACAGAGCCGUUUUGUGUGAUUACAUUU